AGAGUUUGAUCCUGGCUCAGAUUGAACGCUGGCGGCAGGCUUAACACAUGCAAGUCGAGCGGAAACGAGAAUAGCUUGCUAUUCGGCGUCGAGCGGCGGACGGGUGAGUAAUGCUUGGGAAUAUGCCUUAUGGUGGGGGACAACAGUUGGAAACGACUGCUAAUACCGCAUAACGUCUACGGACCAAAGGGGGGGAUCUUCGGACCUCUCGCCAUUUGAUUAGCCCAAGUGAGAUUAGCUAGUUGGUAAGGUAAUGGCUUACCAAGGCGACGAUCUCUAGCUGGUUUGAGAGGAUGAUCAGCCACACUGGGACUGAGACACGGCCCAGACUCCUACGGGAGGCAGCAGUGGGGAAUAUUGCACAAUGGGCGAAAGCCUGAUGCAGCCAUGCCGCGUGUGUGAAGAAGGCCUUCGGGUUGUAAAGCACUUUCAGCGAGGAGGAAAGGUUAGUAGUUAAUAACUGCUAGCUGUGACGUUACUCGCAGAAGAAGCACCGGCUAACUUCGUGCCAGCAGCCGCGGUAAUAC
rnacentral:rRNA from 1 species